AUCAAGCGCCAAGCGGUCUUACGUUAAUAAAUGCGACGGGGCUGCAGCUGAAGUGUUUGCCGUGCCGCUGUGGCUGCUGCGGUUGUAAGUUUAAAGGGCGCUGCCACGCUGGGACUGCCGCCGUCUACCAUUGAGUUACGGAGGUGGAUGCCUCAUAUUGCGCGGCACUGUGGAGACCGAUCGCCGAUGAGUCAGACGUCAACGCAAGCUGAGAUUACAAGAAGUGCUGCACAGAGACUGCCCGUGUGAUUGCAGAGCUCACCCUGCGCUGUUUGCGUUGGUGUUUGCUCAGGGGGAGUCCCGGCGAAAAACACACAAAAAAAUGGAUUUCUUCUUUCCUACUUAAACAGCCCUGAGAUUGAGCAAGAGAACACAGGACUGCGGUCAGAUGCUGUCAUGUUCUACACUACAGGGGUGAAGGGAUGGCGGAGCACGAGGUGGAGAGCAUUGAGCUCACUAACGAGUGUGUCAGGGUUUGUUAGAGGUGGGGCCCUCCCCUUCGCCCGACUCUGUGGACAGCUCUUAUUAGCUAGCUAAUGGCAUGCCACGGGGGCAGAUUAAACGGACGCAGCAGAAACCGCCCCAUCAUCUUUUCAUUUACGAGCUUCCAUGUAAUGAAACCCAGCCUCCCUGCGAUGGGUAACGGCGAGAGCACGCCGUCAAUGAGAAAAUGAUGGUGCUUCAUCUUCAAGGCUGCAGAAGAGAAUAUUUCAGCCAUUAAGAUUCAUCAUUUCUGCAGUAUGAGUUUUUUUUUUUCCAGAAAACAAAUUAUAAAAUGCAUUACAUAGCUUAAACAUUUCUGAGGUUUCCUGCCAUCUGGAAAAUUCCCUAGACAUAUUCUGUCAUGAAGAUUGAUGAAAGGCUUCGUCAGAUUUUAAAUCAAAAGCAAACUGCAUGUGCAGAUUAGGACAGACAUGUGGUUAUGUUGAUAGCGACUAAAAAUAUUUUGUAUCCCUUUUCUCCAACCGGUACAUUAUCCAGCAAUAAAGCACUUCAAAGCCACUGUCCCCAGAUCUGAAACCA